AAUAAAAUUUUUAAAUGACAGGUAUUUUUAGAGUCAUUAAAAAUUACUCUCUGUACCACUUUCGGCAGUCUGGUGAACAUUCAACGUCAGAUUUUUAAUAUUUUUUCUUGUCUACUAUUUCGUAGAAUCAUUGCUUGGUAAAGAUUUUUUCCCGGUUGUUGUGCCGAUUAAUAAUAAACGAUUGUAAAAAUAACAUGACUAAUAAUAAGAAUGUUAUUUUUGUAAUAAUAAAUGUUUUAAUAUUUAAUAAAUCCAUUUAUGCAGAUAAUUGUGCUCCGAAAAUGGCAAUUAUUGGUGGAGGAAUUGGUGGAGCAUCGGCAUUUCAUUAUCUUGGAAAUUUAUUUAACGAAAAUGUGGAUAUUGAUUUAUUCGAAGCUGAUAAAAUUGGCGGAAGAUUGGCAACACUUGAAGUAAACGAUCAUGAAUAUGAAGCCGGUGGUUCUGUUAUUGAGUAUAACAAUAUGCACAUGAGAUAUUUUGCUCAGUUUUUGAAUAAUUUUUUUUUCUUGCAUUAAAUAUUUCAUUAAAAACUCCAAUUAAAUCCGAUUGAAUCGGAUUUCUAUCAGAAACAAAUAUUCAAUCAGAAUCAUUCCAAGUAUCCGAUUGAAUUUCAACUAGUACUUCAAACUAGAGGAAUCAAUUAAUGUUAUCUUGAGUAAUGAUUUCAACAAAACUGUUGUCUGUUCUAUUGAAAAACUGACUACUGUACAAGGCGGGAAUUCAAAUGUUUGGAGAAUAUAUUCUAGGAACUCGGUGGAAAAAAACAUUAUUGAUAACAUGUUGAAACAAGUACAGCAAAUUAAAGAAAUUAAAUGGAAGGCGUACCCAAAAUACUCAGCAAUACAAUCUGAUAAUAAUUUCAAGCUCUACAAUUCUCUG